rnacentral:lncRNA from 1 species
UGCGUGUGUGUGUGUGAAUGAGUAUGAAUGUGUGUGGAUAAAUGUGUGAGCAUGAAUGGGUAUGUAAGUGUGACUGUGUGUGUGUGUGUGUGUGGAUGUGUGUGUGUGUGGAGCCCCUUGUACAGGCACAGUUAGGAUAUGUCAGCCAAGGAUGCAGCUGGGAUGCCUUCACGUGGUGACAUCCCUGUUCAGGUGACACUGCAGUGCACGGUUACCACAUGGCUGGACUCCUGAACACUCAGCCAUCCUGCUCUGGGGCAAUCUUCCUAUAGCCUCGAGCUCCCUGCCCCAAGAGUGGUCCUGAGGCUCCUUGGUCUGGGGGUGGGCACAGGACAGUGGAGUCACUCUGGCUCUAGCGCUGGAAGGAGGGGAGGCAGGAGGGGAUGGCUGCUCUGCUCAGACCCUGCCCAUCCCUCAGCCCCACAUGUGCACACCUCACAGACUCCAGCCCACAGACCCCUGACC